UUUCGUGCACAGCUCAUCUCGUUGUCACACACUUGUCUAUGGAUCACGUAACCCACCAAAAUUCGAUCUGGAAAAAAAUAACUCUCCCGAUAACACUGAAGGACCCGGAUGACACCCUGGGACAACACAGGGAGCCCAACAAGAAUGAAGAGCCAGGCCUUUGAAGCUAAAAGCAUUCUUAGCAUAGCCUGCAAAUUCGAUAAGAAAACUCAAUAACAUAAAAGUACUAUUUCGGUGAAAAAUGAAUGUGCUGGUUGGAACGUUCUCAGUACAAUAAUACCGUUGUACGCUCCUAAUGACGGGCCCAUCGGGUCUCCUAAAUGUCUUAUAAAAGAGCAAAAUCUGUUAACUCCACAUAUAUAUUUUAUAGCUAUUUGCGAAAAAGUAGAAUGUGGGUUAAAUCUGGUUGUAAUCGUAUUUGUUCACCUUUUUUGCAGGGAAAAAAUAAACUGGACCGAUCUUAAUUAA